rnacentral:rRNA from 1 species
AAAGGGGGGGGACCUUCGGGCCUUCUGUCAUCGGAUGAGUCUGCGUACCAUUAGCUAGUUGGUGGGGUAAGAGCCCACCAAGGCGACGAUGGUUAGCUGGUCUGAGAGGAUGAUCAGCCACACUGGAACUGAGACACGGUCCAGACUCCUACGGAGGCAGCAGUGGGAAUUUUGCGCAAUGGGGGAAACCCUGACGCAGCAACGCCGCGUGAGUGAUGAAGGCCUUCGGGUCGUAAAGCUCUGUCAGAGGGAAAGAAAUGUAUUAUGGCUAAUAUCCAUGAUACUUGACGGUACCCUCAAAGGAAGCACCGGCUAACUCCGUGCCAGCAGCCGCGGUAA